AAUCCAUGAUUAGGGCAAUUUUUGACAAAUCCUUUGAAGUGCUCCCAUGCGACACUCAAGGUUUCAAAUUCUUCCUACUCGAAGUUCAUGAUCUCUCUUCGCCU